rnacentral:rRNA from 1 species
CCUACGGGAGGCAGCAGUGGGGAAUAUUGGACAAUGGGGGAAACCCUGAUGCAGCGACGCCGCGUGAGUGAAGACGUAUUUCGGUACGUAAAGCUCUAUCAGCAGGGAAGAAAAAAAGUCCUUUGGACUUUGGACGGUACCUGACUAAGAAGCCGCGGCUAACUACGUGCCAGCAGCCGCCGUAAUACGGAGGGGGCAAGCGUGAUACGGAGUUACUGGGUGUAAAGGGAGCGUAGACGGCAGCGCAAGUCUGGAGUGAAAUGCCGGGGCCCAACCCCGGAACUGCUUUGGAAACUGUGCAGCUGGAGUGCAGGAGAGGUAAGCGGAAUUCGUAGUGUAGCGGUGAAAUGCGUAGAUAUUAGGAGGAACACCAGUGGCGAAGGCGGCUUACUGGACUGUAACUGACGUUGAGGCUCGAAAGCGUGGGGAGCAAACAGGAUUAGAUACCCUAGUAGUC